rnacentral:sRNA from 1 species
UGCAGGGUAUGGUCUUACGUUGUCGUG